AAUAAAUACAGUUUUAUAUUGUUCAUAUCCAACGUUUGACGGUUCAUUUUAUUUAAAAUUCUUUUAAACAUGAGCAAGUACUUUGUGUGUGACUAAUUUUUUUUUAAUUUUUUCAUAAAAUUUUCAAAUAAGACGAACGGUCAAACGUUUGACAUGUAUACCCACGGAUACACUUAUU
rfam:Oryza meridionalis cultivar OR44 (W2112) chromosome 1, whole genome shotgun sequence.